GAUGAACGCUGGCGGCGUGCUUAACACAUGCAAGUCGAACGAAGCAUUUGCGACAGAUUUUUUCGGAAUGAAGUUGCUUAUGACUGAGUGGCGGACGGGUGAGUAACGCGUGGGUAACCUGCCUUGUACUGGGGGAUAGCAGCUGGAAACGGCUGGUAAUACCGCAUAAGCGCACAAUGUUGCAUGACAUGGUGUGAAAAACUCCGGUGGUAUACGAUGGACCCGCGUCUGAUUAGCUAGUUGGUGAGAUAACAGCCCACCAAGGCGACGAUCAGUAGCCGACCUGAGAGGGUGACCGGACACAUUGGGACUGAGACACAGCCCAGACUCCUACGGGAGGCAGCAGUGGGGAAUAUUGCACAAUGGAGGAAACUCUGAUGCAGCGACGCCGCGUGAGUGAAGAAGUAAUUCGUUAUGUAAAGCUCUAUCAGCAGGGAAGAUAGUGACGGUACCUGACUAAGAAGCUCCGGCUAAAUACGUG
rnacentral:rRNA from 1 species